GUAUUCAUUGAUUGCUCCACAACACGUCUGCUAAAUUGGAAUGCUACACAGAAUAUUAGCAUGGCCCCUACACAAGGAUAACACAAAACUUAUUGAAGCAUUCCAUAUUUUG